CCUACGGGUGGCAGCAGUGGGGAAUAUUGGACAAUGGGCGAAAGCCUGAUCCAGCCAUGCCGCGUGUGUGAAGAAGGCCUUCGGGUUGUAAAGCACUUUCAGUGGGGAAGAAAGCCUUGGGGCUAAUACCCUCGAGGAAGGACAUCACCCACAGAAGAAGCACCGGCUAACUCCGUGCCAGCAGCCGCGGUAAUACGGAGGGUGCGAGCGUUAAUCGGAAUUACUGGGCGUAAAGCGCGCGUAGGCGGUCUGAUAAGCCGGUUGUGAAAGCCCCGGGCUCAACCUGGGAACGGCAUCCGGAACGGUCAGGCUAGAGUGCAGGAGAGGAAGGUAGAAUUCCCGGUGUAGCGGUGAAAUGCGUAGAGAUCGGGAGGAAUACCAGUGGCGAAGGCGGCCUUCUGGACUGACACUGACGCUGAGGUGCGAAAGCGUGGGUAGCAAACAGGAUUAGAUACCCCGGUAGUC
rnacentral:rRNA from 1 species